rnacentral:rRNA from 1 species
CGUGGGCAACCUGCCUGUAAGACUGGGAUAACUUCGGGAAACCGGAGCUAAUACCGGAUACGUUCUUUCCUCGCAUGAGGAAAGAUGGAAAGACGGUUUCGGCUGUCACUUACAGAUGGGCCCGCGGCGCAUUAGCUAGUUGGUGAGGUAAUGGCUCACCAAGGCCACGAUGCGUAGCCGACCUGAGAGGGUGAUCGGCCACACUGGGACUGAGACACGGCCCAGACUCCUACGGGAGGCAGCAGUAGGGAAUCUUCCGCAAUGGACGAAAGUCUGACGGAGCAACGCCGCGUGAGCGAAGAAGGCCUUCGGGUCGUAAAGCUCUGUUGUUAGGGAAGAACAAGUGCCAGAGUAACUGCUGGCACCUUGACGGUACCUAACCAGAAAGCCACGGCUAACUACGUGCCAGCAGCCGCGGUAAUACGUAGGUGGCAAGCGUUGUCCGGAAUUAUUGGGCGUAAAGCGCGCGCAGGUGGUUCCUUAAGUCUGAUGUGAAAGCCCACGGCUCAACCGUGGAGGGUCAUUGGAAACUGGGGGACUUGAGUGCAGAAGAGGAAAGUGGAAUUCCAAGUGUAGCGGUGAAAUGCGUAGAGAUUUGGAGGAACACCAGUGGCGAAGGCGACUUUCUGGUCUGUAACUGACACUGAGGCGCGAAAGCGUGGG